GAUCAUUAGUGAAUUGCAGGGCCUGCCAUACGGAUGCGCAAGCGUCUCUGGCGCCCAACCCACUAUACAUCCACAAACCCGUGUGCACUUGUGUUGCUUUGCUCCUGUAUGGGGCGAGAGCGCACGCAUUUACAAACUCGUAUGGUUGUAUGUACGUUGUAAACGUUGGACCGUCACUGGCCAACAAACUUUAUACAACUUUCGACAACGGAUCUCUUGGUUCUCGCAUCGAUGAAGAACGCAGCGAAACGCGAUAGGUAAUGUGAAUUGCAGAAUUCCGUGAAUCAUCGAAUCUUUGAACGCACCUUGCGCUCCAUGGUAUUCCGUGGAGCAUGCCUGUUUGAGUGCCGCGAAUUCUCCCACCCCAAACGGUUGCCGAAAGGUACUGUGCGGCGGAGGGGUUGGAUGGGUGCUGCUGCCUGUGGGAAACUACAGGCUCGCCCGAAAUGCAUUAGCGCCUCAGGACACAUUCGCUACUGCUCUACAAAAGGAAGAGCGGCGAAGCGUAUGGGGGAAAACCACCGCCGGUUAUUCCAAACCUCGCCUGACUGUUUGCGCAUGGCAUGAUACGUCAUUUGCUGUGUUGCGUUGGUUGGUGCGUGGGACUGUGUGAGUGCCUCUAGAGCUUUGAGAAGUGUUUCGUGUGCUACGAACUGAAAAGUACAUUCCUUUUUCAUUUCUGGUCUCAAAUCAGGUAGGAUCACCCGCUGAACUUAAGCAUAUCAAUAAGCGGAGGA
rnacentral:rRNA from 1 species